UCAUGUGUAAAGAUCCCAGCUGUCCUCCGCAACGCCAUCAUUCGUAUCCUGCUCAGCCCGGAUGUGACCAUCAGCUCCCACCGCUGCCACUACCGGUUCGAGUGCAGGAGCAAGGGGAACGAGCUGCUGAUGGUCGUGGGGCCUUCCAAUAUCUGUGCCUGAAAUGCCAACUGCUUGCCUCAGCUAGAGCACCCACUGUGGAAGCUGAAUGGUGGCAGCUGGCAACCUGUGGCAGUGAGCGCGGUGGCCAGCUGGUGUGAAGAGGAGAUGUCUCCCGUCAGUAAUUGCAGGAAGAAGCUCUAGCAGGUGGGAUGAGGAAUCACACUGAAGAUCACAGAGCAGAGGGAAGCAGUGGCAAAUAGCAGAAGAGAAGGGGAGAGACAAAUGGCUGUGUCCUGCUCGCCAGCACGAAUGGGAGGAGGAUGUGCUCACCAUAGUAAUAGCGUGGCAGCAGUAGUCAUUGUCUGAAGAGCGAGCUCCCCGCGAUCUGGCAACGCGGAGGUGAUGGACCAAAGCUGAGAAUCCAGGUCAAAUCCAGGGGAACAAGCUGAGUUUGUCUGACAGCGUCUCACUUUUCGAUGCGCUGUGCAAAGAGGCAGUGACUUGGAAAUCUGAAUUUCGGAGGCUGAACUUCAUCAGUCAGACUACUUCUACCUCAUUAUGUUUAAAGAGGACUGCAUCCCAGCGUCAGAAAGGAGCGCUGCUGGUCUCCCAGCUGGGUUUGAAGCAGAUCAAUACGAAUGCUGAGCCAUCUAAGAAGCUCUUCCUGAAGCAAUAAAUAUGGGAAGUGUGCUUUCA
rnacentral:lncRNA from 1 species